GUGAGGGAUUCACCGGGAAAGAUGGCCGCCCGGGCUGGAGGCACAGGGCGGCAGCUGUGACUGUGCUUACUAAAGAAAGCUGGUCUUCACCCCUGGGAGGUGGCGCAUAUGUGCUUCCAAAUGGGAGGCCGGAUGUGGCUGGGCCAGCUGAUAUUUUGGAGCCCAAGGACCGAUCGCCAAGGCCACGUCCUCAGGGUGGCCUUCAGAGGGAUCUAUUUCAGGAGGGACCCAGAAAGUCGGGACUACUGUGACCCUUGCGUUUUUUCCCCACCAGUGUUGGCUGGCUUGACUGGAGGAGAUGCUUUUGAAGGGCUCUGAGGUGCCUGGGAGGGGCCCUGGAAGCCAAGCCAGGAGGGGAGUUUUGGGGAGGCGGGAGUGGGGGAGGGUGCAAGAACAAGGCACAGGAGAGACCAGGGAAAGAUAAUUGGAGCCCUUGGAACUGAGCUCCCAGCGACAGCCUCUGCCCAUAGCGUGGAGAACGUUAAGUCCAGCUCCCUGGAGGCAGAAUUCAUCUCUGCGGUUUCCCUUCCAGAGCAUGUGGCCGGCAUCUCCACUAAGACGAAUCACAGCAGGGCAGGCCUGAAAAGACAUAUUUUGGAGAACAUGUAUUGACUGUUCCAGCUGUGAGCAUGCUUCCUGCCCUCCCUCCAGGCUGCCCAGCAGUGCCGCUGCUGCAAAUCCAGCAGCGUGAGAACAGACGAAUACAAAAGGAAGAACAUAUAAUGCAUUUAACAGCAGCAGUAGAAG
rnacentral:lncRNA from 10 species